rnacentral:rRNA from 1 species
CUACGUGCCAGCAGCCGCGGUAAUACGGAAGGUCCGGGCGUUAUCCGGAUUUAUUGGGUUUAAAGGGAGCGUAGGCCGGAGAUUAAGUGUGUUGUGAAAUGUAGACGCUCAACGUCUGACUUGCAGCGCAUACUGGUUUCCUUGAGUACGCACAACGUUGGCGGAAUUCGUCGUGUAGCGGUGAAAUGCUUAGAUAUGACGAAGAACUCCGAUUGCGAAGGCAGCUGACGGGAGCGCAACUGACGCUGAAGCUCGAAGGUGCGGGUAUCGAACAGGAUUAGAUACCCUGGUAGUCCGCACAGUAAACGAUGGAUGCCCGCUGUUGGUACGUGGUAUCAGCGGCUAAGCGAAAGCAUUAAGCAUCCCACCUGGGGAGUACGCCGGCAACGGUGAAACUCAAAGGAAUUGACGGGGGCCCGCACAAGCGGAGGAACAUGUGGUUUAAUUCGAUGAUACGCGAGGAACCUUACCCGGGC